UUUUUCCUUCCCCAAAUUAUGGAAAUUUUUAGCCAUUUUGUCUUCAGAUAAGUUUUCUGGUCCUUUUUCUCUCUCUUCUCUUUCUGGAACUU